GAUGCAAAUACAGCAGAUCACUCAAGGGAUGCUGAAACAUUAUUUGGUAUUCAAACAACUCUGGAAAAGUAUGAACAUCCAAUUUUGAAAAUGAACUAAAAGAUACUGAUUAUAAAGAAUUUAUGCAAUAUGCAAAUACAGCAGAUCGCUCAAGGGAUGCUGAAACAUUAUUUGGUAUUCAAACAACUCUGGAAAAGUAUGAACAUCCAAUUUUGAAAAUGAACUAACGAAUACUGAUUAUAAUGAAUUUAUGCAAAUUACAUAUUGCAAUACAGCAGACAAUGAAAGCCAUGGUGAGACAUGAGUUCGCGAUUCUAUCAGUUUGGAAAAUAUAAACAUCCUAUGUUGAAAAUGGACUAGAAGAUACUGAUAAUAAUAAUUGUUUUAUUCAACAUACGUGUAGAGCUUAUAAUAGAAUAUAAUUUAUAGGAAAUUAAUAGUUAUGUAACAAAAUGUUAAUGUUAUGAAAUCCUGACAAUAGGACUAAGUAAAUGAUACUUAUUUACUAUAAUUAACUUUCAUACAAUUCAUUUAACUUGAUACUUCAUAAACACUAAAAAACAUGAUUUUAUAUGAUC